GUUCCGUCAAGAACUAUGGUCGGGCUAAUAGCUUUCGUGAACUUUCAGUUCGCUUCUGACUCGGAACGGUUAAGGACUCCACCGUCCUCGAGGUCAGGAGGAGGCUUUAUACUGCCACAGAAGUUGUCAGAAAAAAGCGGGCAAAGAAAGUCCGAAAUGAACAGACAGAACAAGACGUGUUCCUGUGUUUGUUCCCGCGUUCUGUGAGCCAUGUUCCUUUGUUCGAGUGCCUGUGUUGGUGCCCCGGUGUUUCCCCUAAUAUUGUAAUGUUUGGUUAGAUAUUAAAUAAAGCCAUCUCUACAA